AUUGAACGCUGGCGGCAUGCCUUACACAUGCAAGUCGAACGGUAACGGGCCUUCGGGUGCCGACGAGUGGCGAACGGGUGAGUAAUACAUCGGAACGUGCCCGACCGUGGGGGAUAACGAGGCGAAAGCUUUGCUAAUACCCCAUACGAUCUACGGAUGAAAGCAGGGGACCGCAAGGCCUUGCGCGGACGGAGCGGCCGAUGGCGGAGUAGGUUGUUGGUGGGAUAAAAGCUUACCAAGCCGACGAUCUGUAGGUGGUCUGAGAGGAUGAUCAGCCACACUGGGACUGAGACACGGCCCAGACUACUACGGGAGGCAGCAGUGGGGAAUUUUGGACAAUGGGCGCAAGCCUGAUCCAGCCAUGCCGCGUGCAGGAUGAAGGCCUUCGGGUUGUAAACUGCUUUUGUACGGAACGAAAAGCCUUCUUUUAAUACAGGAGGGUCAUGACGGUACCGUAAGAAUAAGCACCGGCUAACUACGUG
rnacentral:rRNA from 1 species